AGUGUUGGAAUCAAUACUGAAUGGGGAUUGUUGAUGGCAAGUAUAUCUCUGAGGAUACCUAUAAAGAAACUCUUCUACAGAUUUAUGUUCUUUCCAAUUUCUGACCUGAAACUGUUGAGGAUGCUAGCUAAUGAAGGUCCUGCAGUGUUGUGUUCCUUGCAAUCUUUGACCUGAAACUGUUGAGGAAGCUAGCAAAUGAAGGCGUUACAGUGUUGGGGUUGCCUUGACUAGUCUUUUUUUUUUUUUUGGAUUUGUGAUUUUUGGUUGGUGUAAGAAUGAUAGAUAUUGUAUUUUGAUAUUUGUCAAUUUAUAAUAUUUGUGGAACAUGGCACUUG